AUUGAACGCUGGCGGCAUGCUUUACACAUGCAAGUCGAACGGUAACAGGCCGCGAGGUGCUGACGAGUGGCGAACGGGUGCGUAAUGCAUCGGAACGUGCCCAGUCGUGGGGGAUAACUACUCGCAAGAGUAGCUAAUACCGCAUACGAUCUAUGGAUGAAAGCGGGGGACCGUAAGGCCUCGCGCGAUUGGAGCGGCCGCUGUCAGAUUAGGUAGUUGGUGGGGUAAAGGCUCACCAAGCCAACGAUCUGUAGCUGGUCUGAGAGGACGACCAGCCACACUGGGACUGAGACACGGCCCAGACUCCUACGGGAGGCAGCAGUGGGGAAUUUUGGACAAUGGGCGAAAGCCUGAUCCAGCAAUGCCGCGUGCAGGAAGAAGGCCUUCGGGUUGUAAACUGCUUUUGUACGGAACGAAACGGCUCUGGUUAAUACCCGGGGCUAAUGACGGUACCGUAAGAAUAAGCACCGGCUAACUACGUG
rnacentral:rRNA from 1 species